rnacentral:tRNA from 1 species
UCCUUAGUAGCUCAAUGGUAGGGUGGUCAACGGUUAACUGAUUAGUUGUAGGUUCAAAUCCUACUUAGGGAG